rnacentral:lncRNA from 1 species
GGAGUCCCUCCCGCUUGCGCCCCUGUAGACGAGGUCCCACCGCCGCGUGGAACUCUGGCCGCUCUAACCGCGUCUAGAACGCGGCCCCUUUAAGGCCGACCUGGAUGACCCGAAGGCCAGAGCGACCUUCUAGCGGCCGUCUCGAUGGAAAUGAACCACAUCCCCCAACGACUAGACGGAAGCACGCACAAGCUCCUUCCUCCCGAGGAGCGUUUCCAGUGACUUGAGCUUGGUUGGCCCAGGUCAUUUGACUAGAAGCUUUGUCUGCGUGCACUGAGUGAGGAUCCGGCCCUACUGUGUGUAUCCCUACUGCGUGCUCCUGGACCUGUUGGGUUUGACUCUUGAUUUGCUGUUUUUGGGUAUUCACUGGCUGAGGACAGUGGCUGUGUUCAGUGGCUGUAAAUAAAUGGAGCUUGAACUCA